GUGGGUAUAGCUCAGUGGUAGAGUUUUUGCCUAGUAUGUUUGAGGCCCUGGGUUCAAUACCCAGUACCAAAA
rnacentral:tRNA from 1 species